GCGGGCAGCUCCCACCUGCCUGUUUCUGUUCGCCAUUGCCAGCCCCAAACGCCCAUCUCACCGUAACCGUUUCAGAAGCCCUUCUACCCAAGAUUCCUUCUCACUACACACUCUUUCACUCGCCCCCUACUAACCAAAAUCGCGCGUCGAUCUUUUUAGAAGGCAUGUGUUGGAGAUAUAGGAGCCAUAGGAUUGAUUUAAGGUUAAUACUAUCCCCCUAUUUUUUCAGGAUAUGUCUAUAAAAGAAAGGAUUCCACUCUGAGAAGGGGAUUUUUUUUUUUUUGGAUCUGGAAAAAGAAAAAGUUUUCUUCUCUGAAUAUUUUUAUACAAAGACAACCGAAAAUCAAUUGGUAUUGUUCAUUUAUUAAAGAAAAUUUCUGGAAAACGAGGCAAAUGUCUGAAGUUUUAUAGCUGAGCUUCAAGUUCUCAACCCUAAUGGGUUGGUUUUUAAGUCAUUGGAGCCAGCUUUCCUGUUGAUUAAGCUUAGGUUUGGAUAUUGGGAGACUCAUUGUUGCUCUCGUCGGUUUCGAAUCCAUUUCCACUGUUGUUUUCCUUGUUUGCUACUGAACCUUGCUAGGAUUUUGGAGUCAAAGGUGUAUUUGCUGAUUCUAUAAUUACUAUAAAAGAAGAUUGCAAUUUCAGGAAUUCAAAAGAUGUUCGUUUCGAAUUUAGUUGGUUACUGCUAUGAUCUUCUAUUAUAUUAAAGGUGGUUUGAAGCAUGUUUUAGCUGUCGUUAACUUGAAUUAUUUUGUUUUGUUGAAGCUUAGAGUAUGGGAUUCUGCUUUGUUUAAUUGGUAUGUUAUGGCAUGCUAUUUUUAUUUGAUUUUGUUCUAUAGCAGUGGGUAGUGUCUAGCCCAAGGCAGCGCCUAGGUUGCAAGUUUGAGGGCAGGAGCUAAUUCUGAUUUUUUUUAUGCCUUGGAAACUAUCUUGUUUACUGCAAUUCUUAUAUUAUUAAAUCUGAAAUUUUCAA